GCCUUGGUGGCUGAAUGGUAUAGGAGCUUGCCUUGUAACCAGAAGGUCCUGGGUUCGAAUCCCAGUGGGUGCG
rnacentral:tRNA from 1 species